CGUAGGUGAACCUGCGGAAGGAUCAUUACUGAGUGAGGGUUCCUUCGGGGCCCAACCUCCCACCCUUGUAUACUAUACCAAGUUGCUUCGGCGGGCCCGCCGUUCGCGCGGCCGCCGGGGGGGAACCCCUCCCCCCGGGCGAGCGCCCGCCGGAGACCCCAACGUGAACACUGUCUGAAGUUUUGUCGUCUGAGUUCGAUUGUAUCGCAAUCAGUUAAAACUUUCAACAAUGGAUCUCUUGGUUCCGGCAUCGAUGAAGAACGCAGCGAAAUGCGAUAAUUAAUGUGAAUUGCAGAAUUCAGUGAAUCAUCGAGUCUUUGAACGCACAUUGCACCCCCUGGUAUUCCGGGGGGUAUGCCUGUCCGAGCGUCAUUGCUGCCCUCAAGCCCGGCUUGUGUGUUGGGUCCUCGUCCCCCCCGGGGGACGGGCCCGAAAGGCAGCGGCGGCACCGCGUCCGGUCCUCGAGCGUAUGGGGCUUUGUCACACCGCUCUCGUAGGCCCGGCCGGCGCUGGCCGACGCUGAAAAGCAACCAUUAUUUCUCCAGGUUGACCUCGGAUCAGGUAGGGAUACCCGCUGAACUUAAGCAUAUCAAUAAGCGGA
rnacentral:rRNA from 1 species